CCUACGGGAGGCAGCAGUGAGGAAUAUUGGUCAAUGGGCGGGAGCCUGAACCAGCCAAGCCGCGUGAGGGAAGAAGGUCCAGCGUAUCGUAAACCUCUUUUGUCAGGGAACAAAGUCGGGGACUAGUCCCCGGAUGAGGGUACCUGACGAACAAGCAUCGGCUAACUCCGUGCCAGCGGCCGCGGUAAUACGGAGGAUGCGGGCGUUAUCCGGAUGUAUUGGGUUAAAAGGGUGGGCGGGCGGCCGGUUAAGUCAGCGGUAAAAGCCCGGGGCUCAACCCCGGCGCGCCGUGGAAACUGGCGGGCUGGAGUGGGAGAGAGGUACGCGGAAUGCGAGGUGUAGCGGUGAAAUGCUUAGAGAUCGCGCAGAACCCCGAUUGCGAAGGCAGCGUACCGGAUCCAAACUGACGCUGAGGCACGAAAGCGUGGGUAUCGAACAGGAUUAGAUACCCCUGUAGUC
rnacentral:rRNA from 1 species